UACGGGGGGGGUAAGCGUUGUUCGGAAUUACUGGGUUUAAAGGGUGCGUAGGUGGGCAGGUAAGUCAGUGGUGAAAUCUCCGGGCUUAACCCGGAAACUGCCAUUGAUACUAUCUGUCUUGAAUACCGUGGAGGUGAGCGGAAUAUGUCAUGUAGCGGUGAAAUGCUUAGAUAUGACAUAGAACACCGAUAGCGAAGGCAGCUUGCUACACGAUUAUUGACACUGAGGCACGAAAGCGUGGGGGGCAAACAGG
rnacentral:rRNA from 1 species